rnacentral:lncRNA from 1 species
UUAAAUUGAUAAAGCUACCAUAUUCAUAAAGUAAAACCUAUAUUUGCCAGGACUAAUCUUUAUCAAAAUUCGCCUCUAGUUUUAUCUAUUGCCGAAUGGAACUCACUCCCUUCAAACAUUGUCUCGCUUACGGAAUCAUCAUCAUUUCAUGCAGCACUACUAAUCUUUUUAGAGUGUGUCAACCUGUCAUAACCCACGUAUUACGCUUGAAUAUUUACU